rnacentral:lncRNA from 1 species
AUGUCUUUCAAAGACAUUCUAAUUACAAACCUCAUAAUCAGCUAUUUUUAUAAACUGAACUGUUCCUCUUUUAAAGGCAUUUUUAUACCUUUUGUGUGAUAGUCAUUUGAGUGAUUCUAAGAUUGAUUUUUAGCAUUAUUUGUUUGGUAGGGUUUACAGUGUACUACCUUGCCAAAAAUAGAAGAUUGUGGUUUGGUAGAAUAAGGUUCUUUCCGUUGGUGUUUGAAUAGGAGUGUCCUGAAGAAGCCACUAUUUAAAAUAGGCAUCC